UGGUGAAAUUCUUGGAUCGUCGCAAGACGGACAGAAGCGAAAGCAUUUGCCAAAAACGUUUUCAUUGAUCAAGAACGAAAGUUAGAGGUUCGAAGGCGAUCAGAUACCGCCCUAGUUCUAACCAUAAACGAUGCCAGCUAGCGAUCCGCCGAAGUUCCUCCGAUGACUCGGCGGGCAGCUUCCGGGAAACCAAAGCUUUUGGGUUCCGGGGGAAGUAUGGUUGCAAAGCUGAAACUUAAAGGAAUUGACGGAAGGGCACCACCAGGAGUGGAGCCUGCGGCUUAAUUUGACUCAACACGGGAAACCUCACCAGGCCCGGACACCGGAAGGAUUGACAGAUUGAGAGCUCUUUCUUGAUUCGGUGGGUGGUGGUGCAUGGCCGUUCUUAGUUGGUGGAGCGAUUUGUCUGGUUAAUUCCGAUAACGAACGAGACUCUGGCCUGCUAACUAGGCGUAUUUCCGACAUCUCGAAGGCCCGCCGGCCUGGUGCGCUCGCGCGCCGAGUCGUGCGCGGUUUUUACUGUCGGCGUACAAACAAUUCUUCUUAGAGGGACAGGCGGCUUCUAGCCGCACGAGAUAGAGCAAUAACAGGUCUGUGAUGCCCUUAGAUGUUCUGGGCCGCACGCGCGCUACACUGAAGGAAUCAGCGUGUCCUCCCUGGCCGAGCGGCCCGGGUAACCCGCUGAACCUCCUUCGUGCUAGGGAUUGGGGCUUGCAAUUGUUCCCCAUGAACGAGGAAUUCCCAGUAAGCGCGAGUCAUAAGCUCGCGUUGAUUACGUCCCUGCCCUUUGUACACACCGCCCGUCGCUACUACCGAUUGAAUGAUUUAGUGAGGUCUUCGGACCGGCACGCGGUGGCGUUUCGACGUCGCCGAUGCUGCUGGAAAGAUGACCAAACUUGANUCAUUUAGAGGAAGUAAAAAKCUCGUA
rnacentral:rRNA from 1 species